CCUAAAGUUUUAGGAAUUGUUGACUGAGUGGCUGUGCCCCUGAUAUCCUAGACAAUAUAGAAAAAAAAAGAAAUCCUGCAUUGAUUGAGAUAGGAGUCAUCAACUUAGCUUUGAACCACUGUCUCUAUUGUUUUUAAAAAGUGAUUUAAUUUCAUGUGUCUGUUACUCAUCUAUUUGAAAGCUGGGAGGUAAAUCUUUGCAGCGUUUAUUGACUCUAGGACCUGUUUCGUUCCUUUUCCCUUGCAGGGUGUACUUAUCAGGCCUGGGGAGAAGAAUCCUGCAGCACCUGGGGCAAGGAGGCAGCCUGGUCGGUCGGCACUGGAGGCCAGGAGAGAAAGGAUCUCCAUGGCCACGUCGGCCUUCCCGCUGGUGCUGUGAUGGACAGGGAGAAAGGUGACCCAGGCGCUGCAGCACGCCCGCAUGCUUGGACUUGGCUUCCUCGAAGGUUGUCAGACGGAGUCCUGGCCACAGCGAUGCUCCCCAGGGCAAAGGAUCCUAGGUGUCCCUGGACGUAGCAAAAGGCAGUUGGCAGAGGCCUCACUGCAUCCAGUGGUGAUGUGUGCAGAUGUGGAGUGUGUGCUCAUUUCAACGAAAGGAGAAGCGGUCUCAAGCAGACCCCACAGGUAACGACGUGGAUCAAGGCACAGAUGGGAAGGACCGCCAGGUGCUCCUGAUAACACCCCUGCCUCCUCCUCUUCCUUGGCACGGUUGUCAUGAGAGCCAAAACCACAGUGAUGAUUUUAGCUGAAGCAGCAGAAGUAGCCCCAGAGAAGCCAGAGGCGAGCAUCAUCUGUGGAAAUACGUAGGUGCCUUUGUUGGGAGGGCCGGUGGAGAAGGAGGAGGGGAAGCCGGGAAAGGAGGUGAGCAGAAGGUAGCUGAGAGUUGGCUGUUGGCCUUGACAAAGGAAUGUCUUGGUGCUUCACAGCGACCCCAAGAACCACAGCCACGGGGACAGAGACGCAUAGAUCUGGGCAUGCGGAGCUGUCCCCAGUGGGUCUUAGUAAGCCAGGAGGGUUGCUUUUUUUGGGAGACAGUGAUCUUGAUUUGAGUGUGAGCGCUGAUGGUAUGGCAGGAAACUUGUGCCUGAUUUUUGCUGAGUGGUCAGUGGUCCUAGCUCGGCUCUGGAAGGGACUCCGGGCAGCCUCCUCAGCACAGUGGCCGGGCUGGUCUGGAAGAUGGGCUCUCCCUAGACUUCGGCAUCGCAGGCUCACGUGGAGCCUGCAGUGGCUACAGCAUUCUGCCAAACUCUGCUUCGUCCGUCGGGCCAAGAGGAGCAGUGAUACAGAAGCUCAGGGAGAAAGCCGCCUGGCUUUCUAAGGUAGAAAUCCCUGAAGGUUUGAUGGGGUUUGUUCCGCUGGUUGGAUCCAGGACCCUGGAGGACAGGGCUGCGGUCAGUACUGCGGACUGGCUUCCUCCUGUGGCUGGAAGCUCUGUUCAUAGUCGGCAUAGGUGUUCUAUUGAUCAAACUAAAUGAACUUGGCUAGCGUGUCAGUCAGAUGGAUCGGGUCAAGACUGACUUCUUCUAAAGCUUGUGCAAGAGUCUUUCCAGAAAAUGAUACCGUCUUUCUCCUCUGUUUUACUUUUCUCUGUUCUGUCCUCUGCCUUCUUCAUAUCCUUCCCUCUUCUUUUAUUUUUUUUUCUUAAAGAUUUUAUUUAUUUAUUCACGAGAGACACAGAAAGAGAGAGGCAGAGACACAGGCAGAGAGAGAAGCAGGCUCCAUGCAGGGAGUCCGACGUGGGACUUGAUCCUGGGACUCCAGGAUCACGCCCUGGGCCAAAGGCAGCCACCCAACCUCUGAGCCACCCAGGAGUCCCUCCUUCCCUCUUCUUAUCUUGAGAUCUACAUAGAUUCAGGAGCUGUCCUCCAAGACAGCCAUCUGGAACUGGUGGGAUCUGAAUGGGGCUGCCAUUGUGACCCAUGGGGGCAUGGACCACCCAUCACUAAAGCCUCUCAAGGUACCGGUGAUGUUUAUUAUUAACUAUAGGCAGAGGAGCUGCGGAGGAUCUGGAGGUGAAAAGGCUGUGGGAAAUUUCCACAAGCACCACACCCUUGUCAUGCCCUUCGCUUUGUAGGCCAAAUGGAAGCAUUGGGACAAUUAUGAAACCCUAAAAAGUUCCUGGUCAGGAAGUAGUCUUGGAAAAGGGGGAAGCGUCUAAGCUUAGCAGCUGACAUAGUCUGUUUUAUGUUGACUUAGACAAGCUGAGCUAGUUGUCUGCUAAAAGGGGGAGGAAAUAAGCCUCAAGUGACAUCAGCCCUGCUUUGAAUGGGGUGUUAUUUAGGACUUUCUUAUGGAGCAGUGUGCUUGUGCUAUAGGCAAACGCUCCAUUCAUUCAUCCAACAGUUAAGUUUUGUGUCUCAUAACAUAUUGUAAGAGCUGUUCCAGACCCUAGGGCUGUACCGGAUGCCAAGGCAGCCAAAGUUUCUGCCUUCACACUCAGCCCGGAGCCUCCCUUCAUGGUCUUCUCCCAUCUCAUUUCUCAAGUUCUCCCAAAGCUGGCCUCCAGCCCAGCAGGUGCUUCAUCCUGGUGACCCUUUCAUACAUUAGAGAGGAGGAGGCCUGUUGGCUCACCUCCAGGGAGUGAAGGUUUUCAAAGGGCAGCAAUUAGGACUAUUCAGAUCUCUGAGAGGACCCCACACCAAUGGCACAGAAUGGAGCCAAUGGGCUUCAAGGCCCAAGUCAUCCUCUAAAGCUCUUUGUGACCUUGAACAGAUGAAUCCUAUGUUACACAUCUGUUAUUUUCCAGAAAUGAAACCAGGUUCCAUAGAAACAUGCUGUUUUUUGGGAAGAGAAUUCCAGUAGAGCUUAAAAAAUGACCAGUUACAUCCGUACAAGUGGAUGUGGAAAUGUGACUUUAUAUAUCAGUCCUACAAAAGUAACUUCAUUCUGCUUGUAUUUAUGUGCAUUACAAAAAAGCAUCUAAAACAUUGGUAACCAAAACACACCAAUCAAUAAGAAUCCCGUUAGUACAGAUUCAGCCUAGGAAUACGAUAGAGCCCAACAAGUGCUUGGGUAUUUCAAAAGAUAGACAUCUUGCUGCGCCUGGGUGGCUUAGUCAGUUAAACGGCCAACUCUUGAUUUUGGCUCAGGUCAUGGUCUCAGGGUCCUGGGAUCAAGCCCCAUGUUGGGCUCCAUGCUUAGCGGGGAGUCUGCUUGAGGAUUCUCUCUCUCUCCCUCUGCCCCUUCCCCAGCUCAUGCAUGCACUCAAACACUCAGAGCUCUCUCUCUCUCAAA
rnacentral:lncRNA from 1 species